UUAAAAACAAAAAAGUAAAACCUAAAAAGGGUUUUUCUCUCUAUGGUCUCUCUCGCCGUCUUCAAAUUCUUUUGCAGAGUUCAUCACAAAACAGCUCUUGAUCAGCGAAAUUAAACAUGAAUUCUCUCUCUGGUGGAUUCAGCGGGUUAUUCCUUGCCUCUUUUUCUUAUUUUUUCUUCUCAAUCUCUUUGUUCCUUCUAAACCCUAAUCUCUCUUUUGAUUCUACAUCAAAUCCAAUUCUUUUGUUCAUGACCAUUUCAUAGUCUUUGUUUCUGUCAACGAUGGCGGGUAUACAAGGCAAUGUGGUCUUUUGGGUGAAUUUGAUAUUAGAUUGAUGAGAACGUGGUGAGAGAGAUUAUUAAUCAUAGAUCACUUCGUCAUCCUAAUAUCACCCGCUUUAAGGAGGUGGUUUUGACAACAACGCAUAUCGCCAUUGCUAUGGAAUAUGCUGCUGGUGGUGAGCUAUUUGAGCGUAUAUGUACCGCUGGAAGGUUCAGUGAGGAUGAGGUGACCGCUCUUGCUUCUCUUUGUCAUAGUGGCAAGAUACUUUUUCCAGCAGCUUAUAUCGGGAGUUAGCUAUUGCCAUGCCAUGCAUAUAUGCCACAGAGAUUUGAAGCUUGAAAAUACCCUCUUGGAUGGAAGUCCUGCUCCACGUCUCAAGAUCUGUGAUUUUGGUUAUUCCAAGGUCUGGCAUCUAACCCCAGCAUGCACCUGAUCUAUUAAUUUCUUUUGUCGGAACAAGCUCUGUCUUUUGUUCUCUUUCCGUCCAUCUAACCCCAGCACGCACCUGACUUUAAAUCAUUUAGCGUUGCUGCUCAUUAUUUUGGAAGCUCGAGUGAAGUAUAUCCUCAUGAAAAUUUGUUUUUGUUUAGCUCUAAACACAAACCAGAGAUAGAGAGUGUUUCGUGAGGAAGUGAGGUUUCCGUAUGAACUUGAUGUGAAGAUACUAUUUUCAAUUGGUAAUGCAAAGGAACCAACCCGAAGGAUAAGUACCAUAUUUUUUUUCAAAAAAGGGUUAAUUAUAAGUUUUUUAGUAAUAUUGUAACAAUGGUGUGUGUGUUGGGUUUGCAUUGCAGGCAUACCUUAGUGAAGGGGUUGGAGCCAUUUGUGAGUUUGCUAGAAGAUGAGUGAGUGAGACACUCUGUUUUUUCCUUUUUCUUUUCACUCUAUAGUCUAUUAAAUCUUUUUAAUUGUAUCUUUUUGUUUGUUUGUAACAUUUAUAUCAAAUCUAAAUUAUAUCUGUUUCACAACAUUGAUAAAUUGGAUAUUGAAUGGUGGAUAUCAUGGUUUUCUUU